rnacentral:tRNA from 1 species
AUUUAUCUAAUAUAUUAGUAUAUUUGGCUUCCAACCAAAAAGUCUGCAUGCCAGGAUAAAUA